CUGCAAUAGGGAUAGUAGUGGAAAUCCUUUUUUGCAAAAAAAAGAUUGCAACGGAUAGCCCGACCUGAG
rnacentral:sRNA from 1 species